ACCACUUCAGACUCAUCAUCUGCAUCUGUUAAAAGCAAGGCAAGUGUAAAACGAAUAAUUGAGUUACCUUGUGGAUUUUGUCGGUACAUGCUUACGUUUUCUUCAUCUUCUACUAAUUUGUUCUGUCUAUGAACCACGAAAACUAUGAGCGUCAACUAUUUUCUUCGAUUUCUUCUCCUUUAACUGCCACACACCACAAUAAAACUGUUGUUUUUGCGGUGUUUGUUGUGUUCGUUGAUAUUAAAAUCGCAAUAUUCCACUCAUGCAUGCUGAUUAAAUGUAAGGCACUCCUGUUAGGAUCCCUUUCAUCAAAUUCACAUAGCAUUCUGUUUUUUAUAAUUUUUGGCUGACCCAGAUUGAACGACUCAUAUAGGUUAUAUGUAAAUUAACAAAACUUUAUUUGAAUAUACACCAAAUAUGACUUUCAUUUACCUGCACUUUUCUGUUCUUAUUCUUCAGUCUUAAUUCCACUAGAAUGCCAUUAUCGCAGUACCGUGUGUCCAUCAAAAUCUAAAUUUCUUAACCGAACAAGUAUUUGCUUUUACUCAUUACAG
rnacentral:lncRNA from 1 species